rnacentral:lncRNA from 1 species
CUCAUCUUAUGAGAUAAUUUGAUUUGAAUCAUUUCAAUUACAAGUCAUUUCAGUUACAAGUACUUUGUACAUUAUAUUUAUUGAUUGUCAUUCAUUAUAGAACAAUGUGUCUAUUAAACUUCAUAUGAAUAAGCAAAAAUAAUUCAACAUAGCAGUCGUGCUUGGUAAACCAAUAAAACUCUUUAAUGCCUAGUGUUUUCGGCAAAAUUACACUGCCAUCCUCAGGGCUUUUUUAUAUUUUUAUAUUUUUUAUAUUACAUUUAGAAAUGCAUUUCGAGUUUUGGGCCCCCUCUUCAAUCUAUCUGCAAUACUUCAUUGUAAUAUAUAGUUAUCCUUGGUAUUUUCAGGGAAGGGAUUGAUUCCAGGACCCCUGUGGAUACUAAAAUCUGCAGUUGCUCAAGUUCCUUAUAUAAAAUGUAUAUAAGGGAGUAUGUAUAUAUAUAAUAUUUGUAUAUAACUUAUACACACCUUCUCACAUUUAAAUCAUCUCUAGAUUACUUAUAAUAUCUAAUACAAUAUAAAUGCUAUAUAAAUAGUUGUUAUACUGUAUUGUUUAAGGAAUAAUGACAAGGGGGAAAAGUUCAUACAAGUUCAAUAUAGA